ACUGUCCAGACUAGCCAUGCACGUCUAAGUACAAACUAAAUGAUGGUGAAACUGCAAAUGGCUCAUUACAACGGUUAUGAUGUACCCGGGAGUUCCGAUGGAUAUUUCCAGUAACACUAGAACUAAUACAUGUCCCUGCGUUUAUUAGUUUCGCACAGUCCGUCGCUGAGUCAUGGUAAACAGUUGAUCGACUCGACGUCCCGGAACAGUUUCCGCCCCAUCAGCUUCGAUGGUUGGGUAUUGGCCUACCAUUGCAACAACGGGUAACGAGGAAUUAGGGUUUGAUUUCGGAGAGGGAGCCUGAGAAACGGCUACCACAUCUACGGAUGGCAGCAGGCGCGCAAAUUACCCAAUGCAGACACUGUGAGGUAGUGACGAGAAAUAAUAAAGCGGGACUUCUGUUUCGCUAUUAUAAUGAGGAAUAACCAAAGGUCAUUCCGAUUAGCAACUGAUGGGAAAGUCUGGUGCCAGCAGCCGCGGUAAUACCAGCGUCAGUAGCA
rnacentral:rRNA from 1 species